rnacentral:rRNA from 1 species
UACGUAGGGUGCAAGCGUUGUCCGGAAUUAUUGGGCGUAAAGAGCUCGUAGGCGGUUUGUUGCGUCGGCUGUGAAAUCCCGAGGCUCAACCUCGGGUCUGCAGUCGAUACGAGCAAACUAGAGUGUUGCAGGGGAGACUGGAAUUCCCGGUGUAGCGGUGAAAUGCGCAGAUAUCAGGAAGAACACCGGUGGCGAAGGCGGGUCUCUG